UUGAAAUUAGCGUCCCAUUCACACUUACGCUUUGUGGGUUUAAUCCCAUUUUGCGUCUUCUUCACACUUGAGGGUAUGUUGGAUUAUACACGUAUCGGUUGGUUAUGUUCAGUUGGGAACCCAGAAUGGGCUAAGCUACUCAUAUAACUGCAUUCCCUUUUCCUCUCUCCAUAUAUACCAAUCGUUAGCUUUUAUUCAAAUGGUGUCUUGUACAAGACAUUGAGAAACAUGGCUACUACCCAAUUAAAAAAUGGUGAUGAUUUCAGAUACCUUGUUGUGCGCCCGGAGAAGGGUGGAAUCAGGGACGUUUUCCGGUGCUGGGUUUGGCCGGAUGGCGACGGUGCACGGAGAUUCUUCGAGAGCUCCGAUGAGGGUGUUUUUGAUGCGAAGGUUUCGGAAAGCAGAUGGAUCGUUGUGGU
rnacentral:lncRNA from 1 species